UCAUAAUUUCAUUGCUGUACAUGAAAAGGGGUCUCCAAGAGAGUCCUAACUCGGGUUCGACCUUUUUCCAGUGUGUUGGUUUGAGAGGUUGAAGCUGCCAGCAUGAUCUGGUUAGAUGCUGGAUUAGGUUUUCUGGUUUACUCCUCAGUAUCUUACCUAUAGCAGUUGCACCACCACACAAAAGACCUAGAAAUCUAGGCUUAUUUCUUAUUGAUACUCUUCUGCCCUAAUUUGAUGUUUUUGGGUAGAUGAGUGUUCUUAUGAAUCCCAUAGAUAUCUCAACUGCCAUGUGGUCCUGGUUCUAGACAGGUAGGCAAAUAGAUCAAUAGAUAGAUCCACAGCUCAUAUUUGUUGGUGACUUUAUGAUUGAUGGAUGAUAGGAAUAUUGGCAUUUUCUGCAGAUAAUUAAGCUCUUCCAUGGUUUUUGUAUUCUGUCUUUCAAUAGAUCAUAUCAAGAGUCGAUAAACUCAAACCCAGCAAAGUUCUCUUUUAAACUGCAGUGCCCUAUAGGGCAUGAUUAUGUAGUUUAUGAUAUUUAUGUUUUUUCAUCUUCUUACAUGUCCUUUUACUGUCAUACAAUCAUUAGUAGGAUUGUUAAUUGAGCUUCUUAGACAUGGCUCAAUUCAGGUCAUCCUGCAGCUUCAAUCACUCACUCACCAACAAAUGAUCCUUACUUUCUAUUAAUGGAGGUUUCCCAAUUUUGAAUUACUUGAUUCUCUCUCCACCAGGCCUAAUGAUCUCAACAAAACAGGUUACCUAAGAAUUGGACGUUGGAUACUUUGACAUAAGCUUUGAUCAACUGAUGGUGAGGUUUACCUAAUUCCACUUGGUACACGUGGAAGACAAGAAAGUUGUGACUCAGCCAAUCACUUUUGGGCUCAGAUGGCCACAGAUUAGUGAUUUAAUUUAAGCUAAUGAUCACAUCAAGAAGGUACCAUUAACAACUAAUCCAUUCAUAUGUGCUUGGUUGUCAAAGGUUAACUAUGAAUCAGGAUCAGUCUCUACCAACCAUAUAGAGACCCCCAUGGCUUGACCAGACCUAUAUAUCCUCUAAUUUCUUGGGUCAUUCUUGGUUUGGGCUACAUUAUUAUUCUUGUUUAGGUUUGUCUCUGGUUUGAUUCUGCUAUUGGUUCAGGCAUGUGUAGAUGGUGGUUAAAUAGACUGGGUCAGGUUUGAUUAUGGAAACCUUUGUAAGACCAAGCAAUUUACCACUCCUUGGGCUUGAGACUUAGGGUUACCUUGAUACCAAAAUUUCAAAUAUUUGAAUGGAAAUGUUUGAAGGAUAGUAAUUGACUACAACUAAAGUAAUAAAAUGAUUGAAACUUUAUGCCAUUGGUGGGUGCAAUAAGGAAAAUAAAUCCAAUAAUUUGGCACAUUCUCCUAAGCCAUGAGUUUUCUAAAAGACUUUAGGUUGCCCUCUGACUUAGGGACUACAUAUAAUAGAACUUGUCACUUAUGAUUCCAUUUUGAAAACUUGUUAGGCUGUUUGUUGAUAUCUAGAAGCUUUGACAAAGCAAUAAAGCACUACCUAAUCUCAAAUGUAUCUUCCUAGCCUAUACCUUAUGGAAUUCUAAGAGCUCCUAUCCUUUUGGAAAGAAAGUGAUCAACUUCAUCUCAAAUUCUACACCAAAUGGUUUUUUGAGGUGGACAAUAUCUUAACCUCAAAUACCCAUAUCAAUAAAUUCAACCUAGCUAGUAGCAUCUACACUAACUAGCUUUCUCAGAUGAUAUCAGUCUAUUGACCAAGAUAGAAACCUCUUUCUAUACUUGGAAACCAAAUAUUCUGAUAUGCUCUCUUCAGGACUCUAGCAGGUCCAUAUGAUAAUACUUCUUAUCUUAGAAGAUAUGGACCUGCUAGAAUCCUAAAGAGAGCACAUUAGAAUAUCUGGUUUCCAAGUAUAAAAGGAGGUUUCUAUCUUGGUCAAUAUAGUCUAACCAAAAGUCUGAUAAAUAAAACAUAUUUAUGUUAACUACUGAUUUAGCUCUGAUAAGAGUACACAAAAGGUUGGUUGGUGUGCAAUUCUAACAUCUUUCAAUGUAGAACAAUGGUUUGCAAGAACAGGUUCAGGGUACUGCAACUCAAUAAUUGAAGCAGAGCUAGAAGGGAUUAUUGUCCAAGCCUUUUAAGUUUGUGGAACUGCUGAAAAGGAAGGAGUCUGAGGAUUCUCACUGGGAUUUUUUUGCUUCUCUAUUUGAAGCUUUUAAUUUUUUGAAAAUAUUUAAUGACUCAGUUUCUCUUAACCCAUGGUGACAAAAGAAUCUCUUCAUCUACGGAUUCUAACCCUUUAAUUAGAUUAAGAAAGGGUAUAUCAAACCUUCAACGAUAAAGAACAAGAGUUAAUAAUGACAUUCAUUCUUCAUAGUCCAAUCAUAAUAUCAAAUCACUAUGGGCAAAGAAAAACUUACACCUUGUACAUACUUUCAUUAAAAAUAGGUUAUAUUUGAUUUUGCU